CGCACUCUUUACCACCUCCUCUGCACCCUAAUCCUGUCUGUGCUUAAACAGAUGUCCACCUCGAAUGAGAAAACCGAAGUUCUAGCGGGGGCCUCGUUGUUCCGAGUCCCAACAAAUAGCUCGGUUUCCGUCUGAGUGUCAGGCUAAGCGGCUCCCAUCACCUGCCGCAUCUUGCAGGGUGCAGGGAACCCACUUUCCAACACCACGAAAGGGGUCUCGGCACGGACGCCACCAUCUUGACUGCCGCCUCCGAGAGCCUGGGCUCACCCGGGAGGGUGCUCGCGCCUGCGCGGACCGCGGAGGGGCGUGGCGAAGAGCGCGGGGGCGAGGCCUCGGCGGAAGGCGCGGGGGAGGGACGCAAUGUGCCCCUAGUGGCGGGUGUGUUCGCGCCUCACCUCCGUGUUUCCACGGUUACGGCGGCGCGAAGCUGUGUCCCAGGCCCAUGUCGCCUCCCUGGAGGGCCACACCACCAAAGAUAAAGCCGUGCUUCUGGCAGGUUCUCCCCUGCAGGAUGAAACCACCCUGGGUCAGUUGGAGUAGAAGCCCUGGCGACCCUGGAAGUGGUUGGCCGCAUGGCUAGGAGGUGAGUGGGCCUACAGAGGCCAAACUGGUGCCAUCGGUCUGUUUACGAUCCUUAGCCUUACUUUGCCUUUCACAGUGUCUAACGUUUUUUGCUUUAAUUUACAAUAUCUAAAGUUGGCUGAUUUUGUGUGGAAAUACAAUAUCUGGCUUUGUUUCAAAAAUUGGGAAGAUCUGGUGACAGUGGGCCCGUGUUCCCACAUACCAACAGUCUGCCCCAGCUGAGUAGUGGCUGCUCCCUUUGGAAGGCUUUACAGUCCCUACAGUUUCCAGCCCUCCCUCCUCCACUCCUCAAAACCAAUGUCAGUUACCAUUUAUCAUCAGGCUUAUGCUGUUGUUUCUCUUAUAGUAAAGAAAAGUGAACUCUCUUUUUAUACCUAUGUCUCUAUCAAAAGUGGGAAAACGAAAGAUGGAUCGAGAGCGUCGCAUGUUUCAAGAAAAACGGAACGAGCAUAUUUCUUUGUGGAAAUUAAGAAUAGCGCUAUGUGUUUAAUAUGUAACCAGACUUUUGGGGCGCCUGGGUGGCACAGCGGUUAAGCGUCUGCCUUCGGCUCAGGGCGUGAUCCCGCCGUUCUGGGAUCGAGCCCCACAUCAGGCUCCUCCGCUAUGAGCCUGCUUCUUCCUCUCCCACUCCCCCUGCUUGUGUUCCCUCUCUCGCUGGCUGUCUCUAUCUCUCAAAUAAAUAAAUAAAAUCUUAAAAAAAAAAAAUGUAA
rnacentral:lncRNA from 1 species